GACGAACGCUGGCGGCGUGCCUAAUACAUGCAAGUAGAACGCACAGUUUAUACCGUAGCUUGCUACACCAUAGACUGUGAGUUGCGAACGGGUGAGUAACGCGUAGGUAACCUGCCUGGUAGCGGGGGAUAACUAUUGGAAACGAUAGCUAAUACCGCAUAAUAUUAAUUAUUGCAUGAUAAUUAAUUGAAAGGUGCAAUUGCACCACUACCAGAUGGACCUGCGUUGUAUUAGCUAGUAGGUGAGGUAACGGCUCACCUAGGCGACGAUACAUAGCCGACCUGAGAGGGUGAUCGGCCACACUGGGACUGAGAUACGGCCCAGACUCCUACGGGAGGCAGCAGUAGGGAAUCUUCGGCAAUGGACGAAAGUCUGACCGAGCAACGCCGCGUGAGUGAAGAAGGUUUUCGGAUCGUAAAGCUCUGUUGUAAGAGAAGAACGGGUGUGAGAGUGGAAAGUUCACACUGUGACGGUAUCUGACCAGAAAGGGACGGCUAACUACGUG
rnacentral:rRNA from 1 species